GACGGAGGGUGCUAGCGUUGUUCGGAAUGACUGGGCGUAAAGGGCGCGUAGGCGGCCGCUUGCGUCGGAUGUGAAAGCCCGGGGCUCAACCCCGGAACGGCAUCCGAUACGGGGCGGCUCGAGACCGAGAGAGGUGAGUGGAAUACCCAGUGUAGAGGUGAAAUUCGUAGAUAUUGGGUGGAACACCGGUGGCGAAAGCGGCUCACUGGCUCGGUUCUGACGCUGAGGCGCGAAAAGCGUGGGGGAGCAAACAGG
rnacentral:rRNA from 1 species